GAGUUUGAUCAUGGCUCAGAUUGAACGCUGGCGGCAGGCCUAACACAUGCAAGUCGAACGGUAACAGGAAGAAGCUUGCUUCUUUGCUGACGAGUGGCGGACGGGUGAGUAAUGUCUGGGAAACUGCCUGAUGGAGGGGGAUAACUACUGGAAACGGUAGCUAAUACCGCAUAACGUCGCAAGACCAAAGAGGGGGACCUUCGGGCCUCUUGCCAUCGGAUGUGCCCAGAUGGGAUUAGCUAGUAGGUGGGGUAACGGCCCACCUAGGCGACGAUCCCUAGCUGGUCUGAGAGGAUGACCAGCCACACUGGAACUGAGACACGGUCCAGACUCCUACGGGAGGCAGCAGUGGGGAAUAUUGCACAAUGGGCGCAAGCCUGAUGCAGCCAUGCCGCGUGUAUGAAGAAGGCCUUCGGGUUGUAAAGUACUUUCAGCGGGGAGGAAGGGAGUAAAGUUAAUACCUUUGCUCAUUGACGUUACCCGCAGAAGAAGCACCGGCUAACUCCGUGCCAGCAGCCGCGGUAAUACGGAGGGUGCAAGCGUUAAUCGGAAUUACUGGGCGUAAAGCGCACGCAGGCGGUUUGUUAAGUCAGAUGUGAAAUCCCCGGGCUCAACCUGGGAACUGCAUCUGAUACUGGCAAGCUUGAGUCUCGUAGAGGGGGGUAGAAUUCCAGGUGUAGCGGUGAAAUGCGUAGAGAUCUGGAGGAAUACCGGUGGCGAAGGCGGCCCCCUGGACGCAGACUGACGCUCAGGUGCGAAAGCGUGGGGAGCAAACAGGAUUAGAUACUCUGGUAGUCCACGCCGUAAACGAUGUCGACUUGGAGGUUGUGCCCUUGAGGCGUGGCUUCCGGAGCUAACGCGUUAAGUCGACCGCCUGGGGAGUACGGCCGCAAGGUUAAAACUCAAAUGAAUUGACGGGGGCCCGCACAAGCGGUGGAGCAUGUGGUUUAAUUCGAUGCAACGCGAAGAACCUUACCUGGUCUUGACAUCCACAGAACUUUCCAGAGAUGGAUUGGUGCCUUCGGGAACUGUGAGACAGGUGCUGCAUGGCUGUCGUCAGCUCGUGUUGUGAAAUGUUGGGUUAAGUCCCGCAACGAGCGCAACCCUUAUCUUUUGUUGCCAGCGGUCCGGCCGGGAACUCAAAGGAGACUGCCAGUGAUAAACUGGAGGAAGGUGGGGAUGACGUCAAGUCAUCAUGGCCCCUUACGACCAGGGCUACACACGUGCUACAAUGGCGCAUACAAAGAGAAGCGACCUCGCGAGAGCAAGCGGACCUCAUAAAGUGCGUCGUAGUCCGGAUUGGAGUCUGCAACUCGACUCCAUGAAGUCGGAAUCGCUAGUAAUCGUGGAUCAGAAUGCCACGGUGAAUACGUUCCCGGGCCUUGUACACACCGCCCGUCACACCAUGGGAGUGGGUUGCAAAAGAAGUAGGUAGCUUAACCUUCGGGAGGGCGCUUACCACUUUGUGAUUCAUGACUGGGGUGAAGUCGUAACAAGGUAACCGUAGGGGAACCUGCGGUUG
rnacentral:rRNA from 1 species